GACGAACGCUGGCGGCGUUCCUUAUACAUGCAAGUCGAGCGCAGCGGCUGCUGGGUGAGUAACGCCUGGGUAACCUGCCCUUAAGUCUGGUAUACCAUUUGCAAACAGAUGCUAAUACCGGAUACUCACGGAUGGUCCCGCGAUGCAUUCGCUAGUGGGUAAGGUAACGGCUUACCAAGGCGAUGUUGCAUAGCCGAGUUGAGAGACUGAUCGGCCACAUUGGGACGGAGACACGGCCCAAACGCCUACGGGAGGCAGCAGUAGGGAAUCUUCCACAAUGGACGAAAGUCUGAUGGAGCAACGCCGCGUGAGUGAAGAAGGUUUUCGGAUCGUAAAGCUCUGUUGUUGGUGAGGCGGUAAUCAACCAGAAAGUCACGGCUAACUACGUGCCAGCCGCCGCGGUAAUUC
rnacentral:rRNA from 1 species